AGCAGCCGCGGUAAUUCCAGCUCCAAUAGCGUAUAUUAAAGUUGUUGCAGUUAAAAAGCUCGUAGUUGAAUUUCGGGAUUAAUUUACUGGUCGUGCCAUUGUACGUACUGGUUUUAUUGAUUCCUCCCUUCUGACGAACUAUGAUGUCAUUAAUUUGGUGUCAUAGGGAAUCAGGACUGUUACUUUGAAAAAUUAGAGUGUUUAAAGCAGGCUCACGCUUGAAUACAUUAGCAUGGAAUAACGGAAUAGGACGUUUGACUCUAUUUUGUUGGUUUCUAGGAUCGACGUAAUGAUUAAUAGGGAUAGUUGGGGGCAUUAGUAUUCAAUUGUCAGAGGUGAAAUUCUUGGAUUUAUUGAAGACUAACUACUGCGAAAGCAUUUGCCAAGGAUGUUUUCAUUAAUCAAGAACGAAAGUUAGGGGAUCGAAGACGAUCAGAUACCGUCGUAGUCUUAACCAUAAACUAUGCCGACAAGGGAUCGGAUGAUGUUAAUUUUUAAUGU
rnacentral:sRNA from 1 species